rnacentral:rRNA from 1 species
AUUCCCGUACUUCUGACUAUUGCGAUGGGGGGACGGAGAAGGCUAGGUGGGCCAGGCGACGGUUGUCCUGGUUCAAGUGCGUAGGCUUGAGAGUUAGGUAAAUCCGGCUCUCUCUAAGGCUGAGACACGACGUCGAGCUACUACGGUAGUGAAGUCAUUGAUGCCAUGCUUCCAGGAAAAGCCUCUAAGCUUCAGAUAGUCAGGAAUCGUACCCCAAACCGACACAGGUGGUCGG